rnacentral:rRNA from 1 species
ACUCCUACGGGAGGCAGCAGUGGGGAAUAUUGGACAAUGGGCGAAAGCCUGAUCCAGCCAUGCCGCGUGUGUGAAGAAGGUCUUCGGAUUGUAAAGCACUUUAAGUUGGGAGGAAGGGCAGUAAGUUAAUACCUUGCUGUUUUGACGUUACCAACAGAAUAAGCACCGGCUAACUUCGUGCCAGCAGCCGCGGUAAUACGAAGGGGUGCAAGCGUUAAUCGGAAUUACUGGGCGUAAAGCGCGCGUAGGUGGUUCAGCAAGUUGGAUGUGAAAUCCCCGGGGCUCAACCUGGGAACUGCAUCCAAAACUACUGAGCUAGAGUACGGUAGAGGGUGGUGGAAUUUCCUGUGUAGCGGUGAAAUGCGUAGAUAUAGGAAGGAACACCAGUGGCGAAGGCGACCACCUGGACUGAUACUGACACUGAGGUGCGAAAGCGUGGGGAGCAAAC